CUCAACAACAGAAAAGAAACACCUGCAAAAGAUCACUCGUUAUGUGGACACUGAAGGGAAAACACCUGCAAAAGAUCACUCAUUAUGUGGACACUGAAGGGAUAUAUAAGAACUGGGGAGGGAGGGAAAAUUUUUAUUGUUCACUGUUUAUUUGUACCUGUUGAUCACACACCAUACAAGUCCCUGAGGAAGUCCUAUUUGGUUGGAUGAAACGCAUAGGACCCCUGGU